GCUUCAGUAAUAGGCGGAAGCCCAUUCAAGCUCUUUUCAACUUCGUAUACAUUUAUGCUAGACCCGCAAAACCCGCAUUCAGAUAUAUUUUGUUUAACCAUCUUUCCAUUAGUCAUCACGAUGCUUGCAUCCCAUUUAGGGAAAUAAGCAUGUAGUGCUGAAUCCAAAUAGCUAAUAAAUUCGAGCAUUUUUUCGUAUAUAUUUUUCAUGAACGCAGCUAUCUGCUCAACAACAUAACUUCUAGAAUAUUCACCGGAAGUUAUUUUCUCGAUACUUCUUUCAAUUAUUUGUCUAAUUCUAAAAUGCAUUAGGUUGCAAGCCGGUAUAUUCUUUAAAUAAAGCGAC
rnacentral:antisense_RNA from 1 species